ACACCUCAACUCUCAUGGCUUGCCAUGAUGAGCUUGGACUAUGGGGGUCUUGCUGGCCUGUGGUCAGCUCCUCUCAAAUGAAUCAGCUUGCCAGUGUUUGGUGGCGAUCACAGGUGUGAUAACUAUCUACGCUUGUGGUUUUCCACCAGGUAACCUUCAGCGAUGGAGGUUCACUGGGGCUUAUAAACAUCUCUCCUCGGUGAGGACAGAUUUUGACU
rnacentral:misc_RNA from 1 species